CGCACCUGGGCUUUCACAAACCUCCACCACGUAUCCCGUCACAGCACUGCCGCCAUCGUAAGACGGCCCAGACCAGGACAAAACCAGAGAGUGAGGGGAGAGGAGAUACGCCACGGGACAGGAGGCUGGAGGCUGAGGCAGACCCAGCAAGAAGCUACAGGAGAGCUGCCUUUGAACACACACUUCAAACGGGCCGUCUCUCCAAUGUGUACCUCCAGACGAUCUAAUGGAUCUACAAACUGCAGAGGAGGUGCUGUAAACACAAAAACACAGAAGAAAGAAGUUAUGCAGGUUUGGACUGACAUGAGGACGCCUCAACAAAUCCAUUUCUGCACAGGAAGUAAUUCUCACAGAGGAAGGUGGAAACAGGAAAACAAACUUCUUCCUGUUAGUGGAAAGAUGGAGGGAUGCUGAUAGAAGAAGAUGUGAGUGAAGACAGUGGAAGUCUGGGAAGAGUGAAGAUCAGUAUUAACUAAAGCUUCUACUUUGGCAAACCAUCAACAAUUGUAACACAUGCCAACAGCAUGGAGCCAAUUCACUCAGUAUUCCUCCACUUCUGUUACAACAGGAAGAACUAAAGAACACAAAUCAAAUAGAUACGCCUAAGUAUUGUUUUGGAAUCUGGUAUCAUUUUGAACUUAUAGUGUGUACAAAUUAACCCAGUGGUAAAGUUAAAAAGAAAGUUUGGUAACACAUUAAAAUAAGACUCCAGUUGUUAACAUUAACAUGAACUAAUAAUGAAAAAUACAUGAAAGCAUUUAUUCAUUUUAGUCAAUGUAAAUUUCAACAUUUAUUAAUACAUUGUUAAAAUCAAAAGUUGUAUUUGUUAAUGUUAUUUAAUGGACCUGAGCUAACA